rnacentral:lncRNA from 1 species
CAAAAAUAUAAGGAGUUGAAAGCACCCAGGACAGGGGUGAGCACUGAGGGAGGAGAGACCACUGCUGCAU